rnacentral:rRNA from 1 species
GCAAGUCGAGGGGUAACAGGGAGUAGCUUGCUUUUCCGCUGACGACCGGCGAACGGGUGCGUAACGCGUAUAGAAUCUGCCUUGUACAGGAGGAUAGCCUUUAGAAAUGAAGAUUAAUACUCCAUAAUACUGAGAUGUGGCAUCACAAUUUAGUUAAACAUUUAUGGGUACAAGAUGACUAUGCGUCCUAUUAGCUAGAUGGUAAGGUAACGGCUUACCAUGGCAACGAUAGGUAGGGGUCCUGAGAGGAGUAUC